rnacentral:rRNA from 1 species
AUGGCAGAAUGCUUCAAUAAGGUGCUCAAGGGUGUACGUGCAUUACCCGUGACGGCAAUAGUUCAAUACACAUUUGACAAGAUGAAUGAAUACUUUUUGAAGCACUCAAUGGAGACUGAUAAGCAGAUUGCUGGUGAGAACAAGGAUAAGCACAAGUACAAUUUCCCACCAAAGGUUGAAGAAUGGUUGGAAUUUCAAUCACGAAAGGUAGACUCCGAAGAAGCUGUUCUAUAUGAUGACAACGAGUGGAAGUAUGAGGUGAAAGAGCCCGGAGGAACCACAAAUGAUGGCCGCCAACACGGAGGCCGGGCUUUCAAGGUCUCCCUAACACGGUGUGAUUGCAGCUGCAUGAGGCCGUCUUUGCUUCAUCUCCCAUGCUCGCACUUGUUAAACGCAUCCCGGGUUAGGAAUGUGGACGUCAAUCACCCUCUAACCGUGAGGGCGUCCGAGUUCUCAAUCAUGACGGUAAAGAAGACAUGGACUCCACGGUUCCAGCCAUACUUGGACCAAUCACAAUGGCCGGAGUAUCAUGGAGUUCAACUAUGGCCGGACCCG